rnacentral:rRNA from 1 species
GAGAUGGAUUGGUGCCUUCGGGAACUCUGACACAGGUGCUGCGAUGGCUGUCGUCAGCUCGUGUCGUGGAGAUGUUGGGUUAAGUCCCGUAACGAGCGCAACCCUUGUCCUUAGUUACCAGCACGUUAUGGUGGGCACUCUAAGGAGACUGCCGGUGACAAACCGGAGGAAGGUGGGGAUGACGUCAAGUCAUCAUGGCCCUUACGGCCUGGGCUACACACGUGCUACAAUGGUCGGUACAAAGGGUUGCCAAGCCGCGAGGUGGAGCUAAUCCCAUAAAACCGAUCGUAGUCCGGAUCGCAGUCUGCAACUCGACUGCGUGAAGUCGGAAUCGCUAGUAAUCGUGAAUCAGAAUGUCACGGUGAAUACGUUCCCGGGCCUU